GUCGAUGAUGCAUUGAUGCGACACGGUUUUCUGUUGCGUCGACGUUUUGUCACGCGACAACUAGCGAUGCCGGACGAAAAUCACAAAACAAACAAAACACAUCAAUUUCGGAAAUUCAUCAGAUUUUCAGAGAUUUCAGUGGAUCUAAACAGUCGGCCAACAUCAAAAUCAAAAUGAAUCUACCGGGGGGAAUAACCGUGAAGCGAUCGCAUUCCCCGUUGAACGGCAUCGACAACCAAGAAAGCCCACCCAAGCGAAAGACGCCAAUCAUUCGCAAACCCGGCGAGGUGGUCACACCCAACCGGAAGCUCGCCGGAGUUGUUAAAGCUUCCCCUUCCACGGUGCAAGUUCCAGCGCUCGUUCAGCCCAAAGUCGAAUGGGCCAGAGUAACGGCGCCCGGUUUAAAAACUCCGCUCACUUCAUUCACGAUCACUUCCGUUGAUGGCGCAGUGCAACAGGAUCCGGAUGGGGAUUCGAUGGAAGCCUAUCAGCAAGAUGACGACGACACACAGGAUCCGGAUGAUACGGAACAAGGCUACGAAUACGACCCGGUAGAAGGUUCGGGAAGCGCUGACAUCUCAUCGCUCGACAGCAAACUGACUCGCAUAGAGCGAUUGUUGGAGAAGGUGGUGGCCAAGCAGGAACAGCACGACUCUGUGCUGAAGACCCUGAAGUUCAACAUCUCGGACCUGCGAGCUGACAUGCGAACCACUGUCAAUUCGGCCAGCGCCAAAAAGACGUCCGAUCCUAGAAUGAGCGAUAUCAGCUUCCGGCCCAUCCCAGUUAAAAGAGACAGGAAGCGGUUGGUGGUGUUUCCCGUGGCUGACGACAACUACCUGCUGCGGUUGGACGACCUGGUCAAGGCAGACGAGGACAUCCGAAAUGAUUUGAUUGCUCUCUUCGGCGAGGCUCCGACGAACAGUGCGUACGAAUUCCUACGCAAAAAUGUCCAAUUGGUUUUCGUGCACACCUCCAAGUACACCUGGACCGGUAAGUUGAUAAAUCAUCUUCCGCACGUGCCGGCGUCCAAUGCGGCGCAAAAAUUAGCCAUCGUUGAUUUGCUGAUUUCCUGUGGAUGUGAAAAGUUUCCCCAUAUGGGACGGGACACCAUUGAGAAGGAAUUCCGACGGGCGUUGGCCAAUUUUAACGAAUCUCGGGUGGUUCGGUUGAAACGGCAAAUGGAAAAACCGGACGGCGACAAUUCAGCAGGGCAAAAGUAGUGAUAAGAUUUUUUGAAUGUUUGAUGAUAAUAUUUAAGAACUUGG